ensembl:lncRNA
GUCAAGAGGAGCCAGGAGAAUCUGGUGUCACUCACACAGCAGAGCCUGGGUCCAGAGCUGGGAGGCAAGGGAGCCACCAUCUGCUCUCUGCUCUGGGCUCUCUCCUUCCCACCCUGGCACUCGGAGUCGGAAACUGCAGACCAACUGUGCCCUAAGUCCCUUUGAUUAGGAAAUAACCUCCACCUAAGGACUGAGUUUGGGGUAGCAGAGUCACCGGAUCUUGAAGAGGAUCCAGACAUCAACAGGUCAUCUUUUGUGAGUUCUGAUCCAAAUGUGUUUCUCAAGCAGAACAGGCUUCACGGAGCUAAGAGAAACACAAUGUGGUGAGUGAUGUGUUAUGAGAAAAUCCGGAAAGCUGGGUGGUGGCUGCGCUGGGAAUGGUGGUGGGAGGCCUGGGAGGCUGCAUGCUGGACGCCUGGCUCCAGAGACCAGUGCCCAGAUGGAGGAGCCCAGACGGCAGGUUCUGCCCCUUCCCUCUACAUCAAGGGAACCCGGACUCAGGGAUUAGGCAUCAUACUCUGGACAUCCUGGCCUCAAAGCCCCAGGUGCUAGGCCCCUCCUGGACCUUGGCAUGUUGCCUUCUCCUUGUCCCCUUGAGUGUUCAUCUGGUCCUGGACCUGAAAUGAAGUGGGAUGGCCUGUGAAUCUUCUGGAGUGAUGACUCUGCUGAACACUGAGGCUCGUCCUGGGCCUGUCGGUUCCCACAGUCUUCUCCUCAGGUUCAGCUCAGACAGCAGAGGCCCCAGCCCUGGAGUCCCACAGCCCCCUGAGCAUGUCACUGUCACAGCCUUAAUACCACUAGGGCUUCCUUCUCUCCUUCUGUCAGCUUCUCGGGGAACUCCUGCAUCUAUCUCAAUAGCCCCAGCUCUUUGCACACUGCCUGCCACACAGUAGGUGCUUAAUAAAUGCACAGGGACUGAAGGCUGGCAUUGCAAUAGGCCUCAGGGGGCAGCAGGAACAGAGUCAUCCUCUGCUGUCACAGAAGGAGGGUGCUGGUGAAGCCACCAGCUGCCCCAUUUUGCAGACAGGGCUGUGGAGGCUGCCCGAUCUGCCCUCAGCCACACACCGGGCUCUCAGGCUGCUUGGGCCCGAGGGGCGAGCUGCCUGAGCUCCAGUGAGUCAUGGGGAUCGGGCUGGAGCAGGCGCCCCUGCUUGCCUCAAGAACAUCUGCUGAGAGAAACAGCUGUCUCCACUCUGCGCGGAGCGGGCUCCCGUGGGAAUGUGGUGUGUGGCUUGGCAGGGGAAUGGACACAGCUCCUCUGCCACCAUGGCCAUUUGCGGGGUGGGGGUGCUCAGAGUUCUGGGGCCUUUGUCAUGUCUGUCAGCAGCCAUCUCCCUGGGACCACACUGUCCCCUCUCCCCAUUCUCUCCUACUUUAAUUUCUGGGAGGUCUGGAAAGGACAGAGCCGGGUGGGUUUGGAACGUUGUGGUCAUAAGGUUUGAGUAGAUGGAGCGUUCUAGUGUCAGGAAGCCAGCCCUCUCUGGUGGCCAGCAGGAAUUAGGUGGCCUGGGGCCAGAGCUGGCUGGGACAGGGUUCUGAAAGUGCAAGGGUGACAUACAUGGGGGGAAGGGAGGAGUCUCUCUUCAAUUGUCCUUAAAAGAAAGAGUCCUGAGACUCACCUUGAAUUCUGGGUGGCUGGGAGCCUGGCACAGAGUGAGUCCCUCCCGUGUAAGAUGGAAUGAAUGAACCAGCUCUCAUCCACCUGGAGAAACCCUCCCCACACCGGCCAACCUGGGCCCCCAGAGGCUGCCAGGGAAAGAGCCCCAUCUCUGCCUUGGGGUGGGAUCCCCUCAGCUUCCAACUCCCCUCCCCCAAGCUCUCCUCUGGCUGACAUCCACUUGGGAGGCGGCAGCUGGGCCCAGGGCGGCUGCAGAGUCUGGGACCGAGACAGACACAAGACGGUAGCUCAGACAUGGGCAGGGCCUGGAGUCCAGGUGGCGUCUGCCUGGUCACGGUGGCUGAGCAGUCCCCAGGCCAAGGCAAGGUGGAGAUGGGGGCAGGGCUGGGGUGAGAGAGCCCGUUCACUUCCCAGGACUUGGGCUGAGCUCACACAAGUCUGUUCUGUGGGGAACCACAGAGGGGGUCAGGGCGGCUCUGUGUCUCCUGGGGGCACAGGGCAGGGGCUGGAGGCUGGGAAAGGAGUUGCCCCCGGCAGUUAUCUGAGCCCAGAGGACUUGCCCAGCAGCAAUGAGCUCAUGGGCACAGGGCAGAGCUGGGUGGUGACAGGAAAGGCACGGCAAAUGUUCCCCGGAGACCUGGAGGCGUGGGGCUUUCACACGAGCUCAUGUGAUAAGCCGCUCCCCAGGCCUCUCCUCUUCAGGUCAGGAGCCCUCAGGCAGCUGUGUCCUCUGGGAGGAGCCCCUGCUGCUGGCCCUGCGGGGCCUCAGUCCUCCACACUCCUGCUCUCACUUGGUUGGAAACCUCUGGCUGAGGCCUAAGAAUCCAGCCUUGAGAUGACCUGGGCCACGUCAAGCUUAUCUGGGUAGAAUGAUGAACAUUGUUUGUUUACUCAAUCUUUCUUUUUUGUAUAGAAUAUUCACCCAGUGUUGCAGUGCAAGAUCAACAGAGUUGUCAAACUAACAGGAAAAUGUACAAAUACUUCCACCAAUAUAGCAUGACCUGCCUAGUACUCUGGCAGAUUUCCAGAUCCUUGAGGCAAAAUUUGUGCCAGGAUUUGGACUGUUUUAAGGGUUGUGUGUUUACAAAUUUAUACAGGUAAAAACAUCUCUGUUGGGGGCCGGCCCCGUGGCUGAGUGGUUACUAUCACGCACUCCGCUUCGGUGCCCUGGGGUUUCGCUGGCUCGGAUCCUGGGCGCAGACAUGGCGCUGCUCAUCAGGCCACGCUGAGGUGGCGUUCUACAUGCCACAACCGGAAGGACCCACAACUAAAAAUAUACAACUAUGCACCGAGGGGCUUUGGAGAGAAAAAGGAAAAAUGAAAUAUUUAAAAGAAAAAUUCCUUUAAAAAGAAAAAUCUCCGUGAACAUAGUUUUUCUCUUUUCUUUCUCCUUCCUCCCUCUUUCCCUUCCUUUUGUCCUUCCUUCCUUCCCUCCUUUCCUCUCUGUCUUUCUUUCUUCAGUCAGAGGAAUUGCUGGUUGAGAGCUCUGAGGAUGUGAGCGCUCUGUGGUAUCUCUUUAUCAGCUCUGGGCCGAUGGGCAUGACCUGCUAUAUGUUUAAUGUACUUUCUUCCAGCUUCUCUGUUCAUGCUACAUCUUUAUUUGUAUUUGUCAGAGACCCUCAUAGUUGCCUUAAGUUGUCUUCCUUUAAUUUCUAAGGAUUUUCUUAAAUAUUUUUAUCAGUUUGUUAAUAUUUUGAUGUUAUUUUUCAUAUUUACAGUGAAGUGUUCUUUCACUCCAUCGCUUUUCUUUGUGUUUAUAUACAGAUGUUUACAAAUUUUAAAAAUGCAUUAUAUUCUUAUAGCCUCCCGUGGUUUUUUUAAUGACAUGCUUGGACAGUUAAACUUGACUCAGGUCUUUCUCCCGAGGGGCCAUCUGUUCCCAGAGGUACCGCACUGCAUCUGCAGCAUCCAGCCUGGGAAAUCUACGAAGAGGCGAAAACUGUGGACCACAAAGUGCUUUCGAUUCUUGUGAAUUGGGUAUUUUUACCUACGUUGUGCAGAUAGGAAAUUGAGCUCAGAGAUGUUAAAUAUUUGAGUAAGCAUCUCAGGUGGGACCCAAACUCAGAGGUCUGUCUGCUCCGAAACCCACAAUUUGUCCUGACAGCAGUGUCUCAGCAGACUGGGUGAACAUACAUUGCUAUAUUCUUCUGUUGUGGGUUUUUUUUUUUAAUGGUGUGUGUGUGUAUUUAACUUUAACCUCUCUGGAAUGUUCUGUGGUAAAUGGUCUGAGUAAGGAUUUGCUAUUCACCUGUUAUUAUUACCCAUUUCCCAUAUAAACGUAGUGAUACUAUUUCUUUCAUCAUUUUAAAAUUUUUGCUCAACUUGUUAUAUAUUAAACUCAAAUAAAUAUGUUCACAUCUGCUCUACCAUAAAGUUUUGACAACUGCCACAUAUGUUUUACAGACUGGUAGUAUUUCCCUGGUUUUGCCUCAAAAUAAAAAAAUUU